rnacentral:rRNA from 1 species
GAUGAACGCCGGCGGCGUGCCUAAUACAUGCAAGUCGAACGCUCAAGGAAGGAGCUUGCUCUUUCCGGAUGAGUUGCGAACGGGUGAGUAACGCGUAGGUAACCUGCCUGGUAGCGGGGGAUAACUAUUGGAAACGAUAGCUAAUACCGCAUAACAGUAUAUGUUGCAUGAUAUCUACUUAAAAGGCGCAAUUGCACCACUACCAGAUGGACCUCCGUUGUAUUAGCUAGUUGGUAAGGUAACGGCCCACCAAGGCAACCAUAAAUGGCCGACCGUAAAGGUGGUUGGCCACACCGGGACUGGAGAACGGCCCAGAACCCUUCGGGGGGGAGGAGUAGGGGAUCUUCGGCAAUGGACGGAAGGCUGACCGGACAACGCCGGGGGAGGGGAGGAGGGUUUCCGGUCGGAAAGCUCUGUUUAAAGGGGAGAAAGAGUGGGAGAGUGAAAAGUGCACACUGUGACGGUAUCUAACCAGAAAGGGACGGCUAACUACGUG